CCGGAAAGCGCCCGAGAACCAACGAUGCGCCAGCAGGCCCACCACCCUAGCCAUGGCCGGCGUGGGCGGGACUCCGGGGACCCGGCCGCUGACCGCGGGCCGGCUCGGUGGUGAAUUCCUGCAGGACGUGUUUACUCAGAGACUGGAUUGGAGGCCAUUCGAGGAGCAUCCCAAAGUCACUCCCAGGUGCCCAGGUUCUAGACUCACAGCCUCAUGAAUAUGUCACACGGGCAGGUUCAUGACAAUGAAGGAGCCCUUCCCCUGGCCCACGUGUUUCUCUCUGUAGAUUCGACUUUCCUUCGCCCCUGAAACACCCAGCUGCAGGAGACAGAAGAGGGACACCACCCCUCUUUGGACUUCCUGGAUCCCAGAGAUCGACGACCUAAACUUGGACGGCACGCUGAGAGCCCAGACGUUGGCUGGAGCCGAAUCUCUGUGCGGACGUGGGUUAGCAUCGCCCUGGAGAUAUUCCUCCGCAGGAGCAUAAUGAGGGGGUAAUGAAAGGAUAUGAGACCCUAGAGCGGAAAGGGGCGUUAAAGGAGGGAGCAGGAGGAGGGCCCCAAAAGAAGUGCAGUCAGCUCCGUUCAAACCUAGUGCAGGACCUGGAAUCUGAGUGUUACGGAUUUAGAACCUAUUUGAGACCUAUCCCAAAGGACUCUUGUGAAAAUCAACACAGACAGACUCUGGAGGUCGGAGUGGGGAGCUCUUUCGCACGGACGGCUCCACAUCAAGGAUUCCAACGGGAAGGGAGGUACCUUCCCUCUAUGGCAGGAAGCGACCCUGCUUUACCAGCUAGAAGGAGGCGGCAAGACUUUCUCCUCGCCUGGCAACAGCUCAGCCAAUGAGAAGCCGCUGUACUUGGAGGUCCGAGUUUCCUCCAAUAGUCUGUUUGUUUACAGCAGCUCCUCCCCACGCCCUCGUCUCCGUAAGGGUUCCCUCUGCUUACUUGGCUGUGCUUCCCCGUAGUUGCGUUCCCCAAACUGCUGUAUAAAUCCACCUUGCUGGGAAAAUAAACCGUCUUAUUGUUUUAGCUUAGCGCUACGAUGAUGCCUGUAAAAUAGAGUUUUUUGAAAAUCGAAAUAUAGUUGAUUUACACUGA